AAAAGUCCAAUAGAGAUUUAUCUCUCCAAGAGUUGAGCACUAAGAUUAACAUAAUUUCUAAGUAUGUGUGCUCAGAAUAUAGUAGAUGGUCAAUUAAUGCUAGAGGGCAGGCUAGUGCUUAGCAGUGACCAUGGAAGCUCUGUGCAAAACAGACCCCACUGCACCCAGAUCAACUGUGGCAGUAGUAAGUUAUUGUUACUAAUUUAAGGAGGGCAGAAGUUAACAACAACUACUCUGGGAGCUGUAAAUUCACAAAUAUUAUUAAUGUGCAGAAAACAGUGACAUAAAAAUAUUACAGUAAAAAACAUAAUUUAAAAACUGGAUAAGAGUUCCAGUACUUUGUAAUAUUGUACCAAUGGCUAU
rnacentral:lncRNA from 1 species